GGGGAUGGCGAGCUACCAUGCAGUCGAGCGGUAACAGAUAGUAUCUUGCUACUCUGCUGACGAGCGGCGGACGGGUGAGUAAUGCUUGGGAAUGUACCUUAUGGUGGGGGACAACAGUUGGAAACGACUGCUAAUACCGCAUAAUGUCUUCGGACCAAAGCGGGGGACCUUCGGGCCUCGCGCCAUAAGAUCAGCCCAAGUGGGAUUAGCUAGUUGGUGAGGUAAUGGCUCACCAAGGCGACGAUCCCUAGCUGGUUUGAGAGGAUGAUCAGCCACGCUGGGACUGAGACACGGCCCAGACUCCUACGGGAGGCAGCAGUGGGGAAUAUUGCACAAUGGGCGCAAGCCUGAUGCAGCCAUGCCGCGUGUGUGAAGAAGGCCUUCGGGUUGUAAAGCACUUUCACUAAGGAGGAAAGGUUGGAUGUUAAUAUCAUUCAGCUGUGACGUUACUUACAGAAGAAUCACCGGCUAACUCCGUGCCAGCAACCGCGGAAAUACGGAGGGUGCGAGCGUUAAUCGGAAUUACUGGGCGUAAAGCGUACGCAGGCGGUUUGUUAAUCAAGAUGUGAAAGCCCCGGGCUCAACCUGGGAACUGCAUUUCAAACUGGCAAACUAGAGUGUGAUAGAGGGUGGUAGAAUUUCAGGUGUAGCGGUGAAAUGCGUAGAGAUCUGAAGGAAUACCGAUGGCGAAGGCAGCCACCUGGGUCAACCCUGGACACUCAUGUACGAGAGCGUGGGGGAGCAAACAUUUUUGAUCCCCGG
rnacentral:rRNA from 1 species